rnacentral:rRNA from 1 species
UACGUAGGGGGCAAGCGUUGUCAGGAUUUAUUGGGCGUAAAGAGCGUGUAGGCGGCCAGAUAGGUCAGCUGUGAAAACUCGAGGCUCAACCUCGAGAUGUCGGCUGAAACCAUCUGGCUAGAGUCCGGAAGAGGAGAAUGGAAUUCCCGGUGUAGCGGUGAAAUGCGCAGAUAUCGGGAAGAACACCCGUGGCGAAGGCGGUUCUCUGGGCAUUACCUGACGCUGAGGAGCGAAAGUGUGGGGAGCGAACAGG